AUGUCCGUGCACGCCACGCUCUGGGACGGCAGCUUCUGGGCCACGCAGAAGGGCAAGGUCCCCGUCGACUGGUCCGGCGCGCCCUUCGUCGUCUCCUACCACGCCUACUCCGCCGACGCCUGCGUGCCCGCCCCAAACGGCGGGGAGGGCGGCCCGCUCUCCUGCCCCGCCGGCACCGACCGCUGGAUGAACCGGCAGCUCGACGACGCCGGGCGCGGCACCGUCGCAUGGGCCAGGCGCGACUACAUGCACUACAACUACUGCGACGACGGCUGGCGGUUCCCGCAGGGCUUCCCCGCCGAGUGCGCACGCGGCUGA
rnacentral:rRNA from 1 species